GCAGGUCGACGCCCUAUCCACUGCGCCACACCAGCCAGGGCGCCAUACACUCUCUUUAUUCACAGACUUGUGUCCCGCUCCAGCCCCGACCUGGGGUCAGUAACUUACUUGUCUGGCUUCGCGGAGGCUCCUCCGUGUUUGUGCUCAGGUGGUCUGUGAGUGUCUUUCAGAAAACGGUUCUUUUAUAUGAUUCGUCACGGAAUGUGUUCUAAUAAAUCUUUCUAUCAUGUGGCCAAAGAAAAGUGUGCGGUUUGGCGUUUGACAUGUGUUCACGGUGAGUGCAAACAACCCUGCAGGAGAGUGGGUGCAGCCUGCACCCCCAAAAGUGCCCCCACGUCCCCUACCUCACCGGCCGGCCCCCAGGGAGCUGACUCCCAGAGGUUCCUCACCAAAGCGUGAGAGCAGGGUCCAGAGCCUUUUAAAAUCGAUGGAAACCACAGCUUCUUCCUGUUUGUCUGUGUCGGGCGCCAAGGCCUCGAGCUGGGAACAGUUGCAUGAAACCUGCCCCUUGGCUGACAGGGGCCUCGGGCCUGUGCCUGGGGUGAGGGGCUCGGUCCUGGGGUUUAGAACAUCGUUGCCUUUCGUCGUGUCUGCUUUGGAGGGAGGCGAGUUUAAUAUUCCAUUUGCACCUGCACAUCUGGCCUCGCACGACUUACAGUGAGAUGACCGCGCUGACACGGACAUUUUUAACGCGCUCGAACGAGAAUGGGUGCGGCCUUGGCUUCGAUGCGCCUGUUCACCCUCACCCGUUUCCGCUGACUUUCAGCGAGAGUGGGAGGGAAGACGGGAGAGACAUGCAUCCAUUGGUCGCCUCCUGCAGGCGCCCAGACCAGGCCGGGGAUUGAGUUGGACUAGAACCCGGGACCCUUCAGUCCGCAGGCCGGUGCUCUGUCCAAACCAGCAGGGGCCCAUCGCCCCACCUCUCUCCUCCGUGUGCCUUUGGACGCAGAGUGAGUCUCACUGCAUCGUGCGGCGGCUCCUUUGUUCGCCCCAUUCGGCCAUCUCUGUCCGAUGGGAGAGCUGGAUGCAUUUGCAUGUAAGGCAGUUACUGUCCAGGAGGGACUUCCGUCUGCGACGUUGCUGUCUGGGGUUCCAGGUGCUGCAGGGCACCCUCCUCCCCCUGCUUUCUCUCCUGAAAUCA